rnacentral:rRNA from 1 species
UUGACCUCAAAUCAGGUAGGACCACCCGCUGAACUUAAGCAUAUCAAUAAGCGGAGGAAAAGAAACUAACAAGGAUUCCCCUAGUAACUGCGAGUGAAGAGGGAAAAGCUCAAAUUUGUAAUCUGGCGGUCUUUGGCUGUCCGAGUUGUAAUCUAGAGAAGUGCUACCUGCGCUGGACCAUGUACAAGUCUCCUGGAAUGGAGCAUCAUAGAGGGUGAGAAUCCCGUCUUUGACAUGGACUGCCAGAGCUUAUAGGUGCGCUCUCAAAGAGUCGAGUUGUUUGGGAAUGCAGCUCAAAAUGGGUGGUAAAUGCCAUCUAAAGCUAAAUAUUGGCGAGAGACCGAUAGCGAACAAGUACCGUGAGGGAAAGAUGAAAAGAACUUUGGAAAGAGAGUUAAACAGUACGUGAAAUUGCUGAAAGGGAAACGCUUGAAGUCAGUCGCRUCAGUUGGAAAUCAACCUUGCUUUUGCUGGGUGUACUUUCCGUCUGAUGGGUCAGCAUCAAUUUUGAUCGCUGGAUAAAGUUCUUGGGAACGUGGCAUCUUUGGAUGUGUUAUAGCCCUUGGACAUAUACAGUGGUUGGGAUUGAGGAACUCAGCACGCCGCAAGGCUGGGACUUUGUCCACAACAUGUGCUUAGGAUGCUGGCAUAAUGGCUUUAAUCGACCCGUC